AAACAAUAAAAAGAAGAGGAAACCCAGAAAAGUCUCUAUGUUCAUCAAAUAGCAUCUUCUAAAGUGCCAAUCAAACAUCUAUUUACAUACAUUUGACAUGGUUUGUGAUAGA